UACGAAGGGGGCUAGCGUUGCUCGGAAUCACUGGGCGUAAAGCGCACGUAGGCGGAUCUUUAAGUCAGGGGUGAAAUCCUGGAGCUCAACUCCAGAAUUGCCUUUGAUACUGAGGAUCUUGAGUUCGGGAGAGGUGAGUGGAACUGCGAGUGUAGAGGUGAAAUUCGUAGAUAUUCGCAAGAACACCAGUGGCGAAGGCGGCUCACUGGCCCGAUACUGACGCUGAUGCACGAAAGCGUGGGGAGCAAACAGG
rnacentral:rRNA from 1 species